GACGAACGCUGGCGGCGUGCCUAAUACAUGCAAGUCGAGCGAAGUUUUUCUGGUGCUUGCACUAGAAAAACUUAGCGGCGAACGGGUGAGUAACACGUAAAGAACCUGCCUCAUAGACUGGGACAACUAUUGGAAACGAUAGCUAAUACCGGAUAACAGUAUUUCUCGCAUGAGAGAUAUUUAAAAGUUGGUUAUGCUAACACUAUGAGAUGGCUUUGCGGUGCAUUAGCUAGUUGGCGGGGUAAAGGCCCACCAAGGCGACGAUGCAUAGCCGACCUGAGAGGGUGAUCGGCCACACUGGGACUGAGACACGGCCCAGACUCCUACGGGAGGCAGCAGUAGGGAAUCUUCCGCAAUGGGCGAAAGCCUGACGGAGCAACGCCGCGUGAGUGAAGAAGGAUUUCGGUUCGUAAAGCUCUGUUGUUAGGGAAGAAUGGAUAUGUAGUAACUAUACAUUAAGAGA
rnacentral:rRNA from 1 species